CCUACGGGAGGCAGCAGUAGGGAAUCUUCCGCAAUGGACGAAAGUCUGACGGAGCAACGCCGCGUGAGUGAUGAAGGCUUUCGGGUCGUAAAACUCUGUUGUUAGGGAAGAACAAGUGCUAGUUGAAUAAGCUGGCACCUUUGAAACG
rnacentral:rRNA from 1 species